rnacentral:ncRNA from 1 species
CGACAUGCGAUGAAGAGAAGAGUAAUUACUCAUGUAUUGGACAGAAAGUCUGUGUUGAUGAGAGCAGAUGGAUACAGGUAAUGAAAGUGCGCUUGGAGCAUCCUACCAGUGAAAGCUGGUUGGACGGGUGGGGCCGUUAAGCCUGUCAGUAUUUACUGACUGAGAUAUUGUCUGCGAGGGCAAUAUGAAAAAGGGUGGAACCAUGAUUGUUGACCAGUCAUCCCUUCU